rnacentral:rRNA from 1 species
ACGCUCGACACCUACGGGGGCAGCAGUGAGGAAUAUUGGUCAAUGGGCGCUAGCCUGAACCAGCCAAGUAGCGUGAAGGAUGAAGGCUCUAUGGGUCGUAAACUUCUUUUAUAUAAGAAUAAAGUGCAGUAUGUAUACUGUUUUGUAUGUAUUAUAUGAAUAAGGAUCGGCUAACUCCGUGCCAGCAGCCGCGGUAAUCUGAGGCGGGCUGGCAAGGC